rnacentral:misc_RNA from 1 species
GAAACGCGAUAGGUAAUGUGAAUUGCAGAAUUCCGUGAAUCAUCGAAUCUUUGAACGCACAUUGCGCCUGCUGGUAUUCCGGUAGGCAUGCCUGUUUGAGCGUCAGCAAAAACUCUCAGCAAACUACUUUAUUGUGGUGCGCUGGUUUUGGGUGUUUUGGAGGAAAUUGACUUUAUUGUCAGCUCCCGCCUUAAACUUGCUGCACGACCGCAAGCUAAUGCUAGGUUAAUGGAGUGGUAUUAUUAUAAUUCUUGCAACCAUUCAUAGCUUUAGCGGCGUUAAACCUGAUGUUGUUUUACACGACUGACGUUUGACCUCAAAUCAGACAAGGAUACCCGCUGAACUUAA